CGCUGGCGGCGUGCCUAACACAUGCAAGUCGAGCGAGGAGAUCCUUCGGGAUGAUCCUAGCGGCGGACGGGUGAGUAACACGUGGGCAACCUGCCUCAUAGAGAGGAAUAGCCUUCCGAAAGGGAGAUUAAUACCUCAUAACAUUGCAGUUUCGCAUGGAACAGCAAUUAAAGGAGUAAUCCGCUAUGAGAUGGGCCCGCGGCGCAUUAGCUAGUUGGUGAGGUAACGGCUCACCAAGGCGACGAUGCGUAGCCGACCUGAGAGGGUGAUCGGCCACAUUGGGACUGAGACACGGCCCAGACUCCUACGGGAGGCAGCAGUGGGGAAUAUUGCACAAUGGGGGAAACCCUGAUGCAGCCAACGCCGCGUGAGUGAUGACGGCCUUCGGGUUGUAAAGCUCUGUCUUCAGGGACGAUAAUGACGGUACCUGAGGAGGAAGCCACGGCUAACUACGUGCCAGCAGCAGC
rnacentral:rRNA from 1 species